UGGGGAAUUUUGCACAAUGGGGGAAACCCUGAUGCAGCGACGCCGCGUGAUUUAGAAGGCCUUCGGGUUGUAAAAAUCUUUUCUAUGGGAAGAAAAUGACAGUACCAUAGGAAUAAGGACCGGCUAAUUACGUUCCAGCAGCCGCGGUAAUACGUAAGGUCCGAGCGUUGUCCGGAAUCAUUGGGCGUAAAGGGUACGUAGGCGGGUAAGCAAGUCAGAAGUGAAAUCCUAUAGCUCAACUAUAGUAAGCUUUUAAAACUGCUCAUCUUGAGGUAUGGAAGGGAAAGUGGAAUUCCUCGUGUAGCGGUGAAAUGCGCAGAUAUUAGGAGGAAUACCGGUGGCGAAGGCGACUUUCUGGCCAUAACCUGACGCUGAGGUACGAAAGCGUGGGUAGCAAACAGG
rnacentral:rRNA from 1 species